GAUGAACGCUGGCGGCGUGCUUAACACAUGCAAGUCGAACGAGAAGUGGAGACGGAAACCUUCGGGCGGAAGACUUUAUUUCGAGUGGCGGACGGGUGAGUAACGCGUGGGUAACCUGCCUCAUACAGGGGGAUAACAGUUGGAAACGACUGUUAAUACCGCAUAAGACCACAGCACCGCAUGGUGCGGGGGUAAAAACUCCGGUGGUAUGAGAUGGACCCGCGUUCGAUUAGCCAGUUGGCGGGGUAACGGCCCACCAAAGCGACGAUCGAUAGCCGAUCUGAGAGGAUGACCGGCCACAUUGGGACUGAGACACGGCCCAAACUCCUACGGGAGGCAGCAGUGGGGAAUAUUGCACAAUGGGGGAAACCCUGAUGCAGCGACGCCGCGUGAGUGAAGAAGUAUUUCGGUAUGUAAAGCUCUAUCAGCAGGGAAGAAAAUGACGGUACCUGAGUAAGAAGCCUCGGCUAACUACGUG
rnacentral:rRNA from 1 species